rnacentral:rRNA from 1 species
UGCCUACACUGCAAGUCGAACGGGGUUUAAGAGGAAGCUUGCCAAUCUUAAAACUACUGGCGCACGGCGUGAGUAACGCGUGGAUAACCUGCCUGUGUAGACCGGGAUAACAGCUGGAAACGGCUGCUAAUACCGGAGACGCUCUGGUGGACGCAUGUUCAGCACAGGAAAGCUUUAGUGCUAUCAGAUGGGUCCGCGUCCCCUUAGCUAGUUGGUGGUGUAAGAGACCACCAAGGCCACCAUUGGUAGCCGGCCUGAGAGGGCUACCGGCCACACUGGGACUGAGACACGGCCCAGACUCCUACGGGAGGCAGCAGUGGGGAAUCUUCCGCAAUGGGCGAAAGCCUGACAGAUCAACGCCUCGUGAGGGAAGAACGCCUUCUGGUUGUAAACCUCUGUCUUCAAGGAAGAAGUAAUGACGGUACUUGGAGAGGAAGCCCCGGCUAACUACGUGCCAGCAGCCGCGGUAAAACGUAAGGCGCGAUCGUUGUCCGGAAUUACUGGGCGUAAAGGGCGCGUACGUGGUACAUUAAGUCAUAUGUGAAAGAUCGGGGCUCAACCGCGAGAUUGCCUCUGAUACUGGUGGACUUGAGUGCAUGAAGGGCGAGCGGAAUUCCCAGUGUAGCGCUGAAAUGCGUAGAUUUUGUGAGGAACACCGGUCGCUAAUGCGGCUCUCUAGACUGUAACUGACACUGAAGCGCGAAAGCGUGGUGAGCACACAGGAUUAGAUACCCUGGUAGUCCACGCCGUGAACGAUGAGGGCUACGUGUCGGAGGUGCUACCCCUCCUGUGCCCUACUUAAACAAUACGCACCCGCCUGGGGAGUCGGUCGCAACACUCAACUCUAUCGAUUGAUUGGGGCCGCACAGCGGUGGAGUUGUGGUUUAUUCGACCAUCCCCAGAACUUACGGGGCUCGACGUCCAUCACGAUCUU